UACGUAGGGGGCUAGCGUUGUCCGGAAUCAUUGGGCGUAAAGAGCGUGUAGGCGGCCCGGUAAGUCCGCUGUGAAAGUCGGGGGCUCAACCCUCGAAUGCCGGUGGAUACUGUCGGGCUAGAGUGCGGAAGAGGCGAGUGGAAUUCCUGGUGUAGCGGUGGAAUGCGCAGAUAUCAGGAGGAACACCGGUGGCGAAGGCGGAUCUCUGGGCCAUUACUGACGCUGAGGAGCGAAAGCGUGGGGAGCGAACAGG
rnacentral:rRNA from 1 species